AUUGGCUUGUGAAAUGCUAUCAUAUUUUCUUUCUUUCAUUUCAUUAACAAGAAAAGGAAAAGCUGGCUGUGACCCACUGAACUGAUUUCACGAUACUUAAUGGAUGGAUAACUGUGGGUAAAGAAAAGACCCACACCCUGGUGAUGUGGAAAGAGCUCGUGAUCUGGAGCAGUCCUCUCCAUAGAAGUUUCCAAGACAAUGAAAAUAUUCUGUUUUGCGCUGUCCAACACGGUAGCCACUGGCCCCGUACGGCUACUGAGCAUGUGAACUGAGCUCUGGCUCAAUGACACGACAAAGAGGGCCAAGGGCUGCUCCUGAUCAAGAGAGCAGCACACUUACUGAGGACCCACCAUGUACAAGAUACCCCACCAAGGGCUGUGAAGGAGACUGCAAACACGGAACAGAAGUUUGCUGAGGAUGAUGGCUUCCAGCUCCCUCCAUGUUUCUGCAAAGGAUAUG